rnacentral:rRNA from 1 species
AACGAACGCUGGCGGCAUGCCUAACACAUGCAAGUCGAACGCCUGUAGCAAUACAGGAGUGGCAGACGGGUGCAUAACACGUGGGAACCUACCCUUGGGUUCGGAAUAACCGCGGGAAACUGCGGCUAAUACCGGAUACGUCCUUCGGGAGAAAGAUUCAUCGCCCUUGGAGGGGCCCGCGUCGGAUUAGCUAGUUGGUGAGGUAACGGCUCACCAAGGCGACGAUCCGUAGCUGAUCUGAGAGGAUGAUCAGCCACACUGGAACUGAGACACGGUCCAGACUCCUACGGGAGGCAGCAGCGAGGAAUCUUGGGAAUGGGCGAAAGCCUGACCCGGCAACGCCGCGUGGGCGAUGAAGGCCUUCGGGUCGUAUAGCCCUUUUGCAGGGGACGAUAAUGACGGUACCCUGCGAAUAAGCCACGGCUAACUACGUGCCAGCAGCCGCCGUAAUAC